UUGUUGUAGCUGAUUACCGGAGUAGGUACAAAAAGUAGCGGAUAUGACUAAACCGUGCCCUAAUACCAGGGGUGCUAAAGGCUUCUAAAUUUGUAGCAUGCGUUUAUGUAACUGCCUUAGAUCGUUAUCCAAAUCCUAAAUUUGCUAUUUUCCCAUUUUAAUAGUAAAUUAGUCAAACCAAGCUUCCACUUUCAAAACUUCCUUCAAUAAUUGACUGUAAUUACCGACCGUGCGUAAAGCGGAAUUUUUUAAUGUUUUAACCCUUAAGCGUAAUCUAAUUUUCUAUAUAAAACAUUUAGGUGACACUUUCUUUACUAGUAUCAAUUGAGCUCUCAAGCGUAGUAAUUGAUUUCAAUCGUCAUGUACAAGGUUGUACUGUUAAUAUUCGCAAUUGUUGUCGCUGUUGCGGCACUACCUGCUCCAGAAGGCCGAUACGUGUCAUAUGCACCAGUAUGGGGUGGCGGUUUUGGACUGGGAUUUACAAAGAGGAUUGGAAUUGGAUUUAAUUUUCGCAGGCCUUUAUUCAGUUAUGUUCCACGAUACGUACCCUCAUAUUACGCACCAUUCCAUAAACAUAUACACGUCGGCGUUGGAUACUUAGGAUAGAGACAACAAAUGCAUUUAAGUUAUAUUAUAUUAGUAAAAAAAUGAUUUAUGUACAA